rnacentral:rRNA from 1 species
UACGGGGGGGGCAAGCGUUGUUCGGAAUUACUGGGCGUAAAGGGCUCGUAGGUGGCCAACUAAGUCAGACGUGAAAUCCCUCGGCUUAACCGGGGAACUGCGUCUGAUACUGGAUGGCUUGAGUUUGGGAGAGGGAUGCGGAAUUCCAGGUGUAGCGGUGAAAUGCGUAGAGAUCGGGAGGAACAUCAGUGGCGAAGGCGGCCUGCUGGGCUGUUGCUGACGCUGAGGCGCGACAGCGUGGGGAGCAAACAGG